GAUGAACGCUGGCGGCGUGCCUAACACAUGCAAGUCGAGCGAGAUGUAUAUGGACGAAACUUCGGUCUAGGAAAUAUAUUGACAGCGGCGGACGGGUGAGUAACGCGUAGGCAACCUGCCCUUAACACAGGGAUAGCCUCGGGAAACCGGGAUUAAAACCUGAUAAUGCCAAAUAGUCACAUGGCUGUUUGGCCAAAGAUUUAUCGGUUAAGGAUGGGCCUGCGUCUGAUUAGUUGGUUGGUGGGGUAACGGCCUACCAAGACUACGAUCAGUAGCCGACCUGAGAGGGUGAUCGGCCACAUUGGAACUGAGACACGGUCCAAACUCCUACGGGAGGCAGCAGUGGGGAAUAUUGCACAAUGGGCGAAAGCCUGAUGCAGCAACGCCGCGUGAGCGAUGAAGGCCUUUGGGUCGUAAAGCUCUGUCCUUGGGGAAGAAAAAAAUGACGGUACCCAAGGAGGAAGCCCCGGCUAACUACGUGCCAGCAGCCGCCGUAA
rnacentral:rRNA from 1 species